UCAGCCAAAGGUGUUAUACCCAAUAAACUAAGAAAGAAGACCCAUCCAUUAUGCCCACUUAAUUGGUGGAUGAUGAUUGCAAGAGGCCCAAAGGGCAUAAGCAAAUUUAGUUUAUUUGAAAGUAGUACAGUCUUUAUGCUCUUAUAUACACCACUACUCCACUUCUUCCUGCCACCAGCUUGAAAGCUACCUGAUACAGAUCCACAAUCACCUAUAUGACUAGGUUGCAUCUUUUGGGUCCCUGGCUCUGGGCUGAAAACACUCUCAUCCUUGAACUCAUGCACAGAUCCAUUUUCAGCUAUUGGUCCCAUC
rnacentral:misc_RNA from 1 species